GGCAACCCUGACGGAGCAACGCCGCGUGUGGGAGGACGGCCUUCGGGUUGUAAACCACUUUUCUCAGGGAAGAAGGACUGACGGUACCUGAGGAAUAAGCCUCGGCUAACUCCGUGCCAGCAGCCGCGGUAAGACGGAGGAGGCAAGCGUUAUCCGGAAUUAUUGGGCGUAAAGCGUCCGCAGGUGGUGAGUCAAGUCUGCUGUCAAAGCCAGGAGCUCAACUCCUGUCCGGCAGUGGAAACUGAAUGGCUAGAGUGCCGUAGGGGUAGAGGGAAUUCCCGGUGUAGCGGUGAAAUGCGUAGAGAUCGGGAAGAACAUCGGUGGCGAAAGCGCUCUACUGGACGGCAACUGACACUCAGGGACGAAAGCUAGGGGAGCG
rnacentral:rRNA from 1 species